UUGACCUCGAAUCAGGUAGGGAUACCCGCUGAACUUAAGCAUAUCAAUAAGCGGAGGAAAAGAAACCAACCGGGAUUACCUCAGUAACGGCGAGUGAAGCGGUAACAGCUCAAAUUUGAAAUCUGGCUCCUGCGGAGUCCGAGUUGUAAUUUGUAGAAGAUGCUUUGGGAGGUAGGGCCGGCCUAAGUUCCUUGGAACAGGACAUCAGAGAGGGUGAGAAUCCCGUAUGUGGCCGCGGCCUACGCCCGUGUAAAGCUCUUUCGACGAGUCGAGUUGUUUGGGAAUGCAGCUCAAAAUGGGUGGUAAAUUUCAUCUAAAGCUAAAUAUUGGCCAGAGACCGAUAGCGCACAAGUAGAGUGAUCGAAAGAUGAAAAGCACUUUGGAAAGAGAGUUAAACAGUACGUGAAAUUGUUGAAAGGGAAGCGCUUGCACCCAGACUUGGGCGUCGUCGAUCAUCCGAGGUUCUCCUCGGUGCACUCGGCGAUGCACAGGCCAGCAUCGGUUUGGAUGGUUGGAGAAAGGCGCUAGGAACGUAGCUCUCUUCGGGGAGUGUUAUAGCCUAGAGCGUAAUGCAGCCCAUCCGGACCGAGGACCGCGCCUUCGGGCUAGGAUGCUGGCGUAAUGGUUGCAAGCGACCCGUCUUGAAACACGGACCAAGGAGUCUAACAUCUAUGCGAGUGUUUGGGCGUUAAACCCAUACGCGGAAUGAAAGUGAACGUAGGUGAGAACCCGUUAGGGUGCAUCAUCGACCGAUC
rnacentral:rRNA from 1 species